rnacentral:rRNA from 1 species
GAUGAACGCUAGCGGCAGGCUUAACACAUGCAAGUCGAGGGGCAGCACGUCUUCGGAUGGUGGCGACCGGCGCACGGGUGCGUAACGCGUAUACAGCCUACCUUAUAGAGGGGAAUAGCCCAGAGAAAUUUGGAUUAAUGCCCCAUAGUAUUAUUGAAUAGCAUUAUUUGAUGAUUAAACAUUUAUGGCUAUAAGAUGGGUAUGCGUUCUAUUAGCUAGGUGGUAAGGUAACGGCUUACCAUGGCAACGAUAGAUAGGGGUCCUGAGAGGGAGAUCCCCCACACUGGUACUGAGACACGGACCAGACUCCUACGGGAGGCAGCAGUGAGGAAUAUUGGACAAUGGGCGAGAGCCUGAUCCAGCCAUGCCGCGUGCAGGAAGACGGCCCUAUGGGUUGUAAACUGCUUUUAUACGGGAAGAAACACUCCUUCGUGAAGGAGCUUGACGGUACCGUAAGAAUAAGGAUCGGCUAACUCCGUGCCAGCAGCCGAC